rnacentral:rRNA from 1 species
UACGUAGGGGGCAAGCGUUGUCCGGAAUCAUUGGGCGUAAAGCGCGUGUAGGCGGCUUGGUAAGUCCGCUCUGAAAGCCCGGGGCUCAACCCCGGGAGGCGGGUGGAUACUGUCAAGCUCGAGUCCGGAAGAGGCGAGUGGAAUUCCUGGUGUAGCGGUGAAAUGCGCAGAUAUCAGGAAGAACACCCGUGGCGAAGGCGGCUCUCUGGGACGGUACUGACGCUGAGACGCGAAAAGCGUGGGGGAGCGAACAGG